CCUACGGGGUGCAGCAGUGAGGAAUAUUGGUCAAUGGACGAGAGUCUGAACCAGCCAAGUAGCGUGAAGGAUGACUGCCCUAUGGGUUGUAAACUUCUUUUAUAAGGGAAUAAAACGAGGCACGUGUGCCUUUUUGCAUGUACGUUAUGAAUAAGGAUCGGCUAACUCCGUGCCAGCAGCCGCGGUAAUACGGAGGAUCCGAGCGUUAUCCGGAUUUAUUGGGUUUAAAGGGUGCGUAGGCGGCCUUUUAAGUCAGCGGUGAAAUUCUUGGGCUCAACCCUAGAAGGGUCGUUGAGACUGGGAGGCUAGAGUAUGGUAGAGGCAGGCAGAAUGCGAGGUGUAGCGGUGAAAUGCUUAGAGAUCACGAAGAACCCCGAUUGCGAAGGCAGCCUGCCGGGCCAUGACUGACGCUGAGGCACGAAAGCGUGGGGAUCAAACAGGAUUAGAUACCCUAGUAGUC
rnacentral:rRNA from 1 species